UACGUAGGGUGCAAGCGUUAAUCGGAAUUACUGGGCGUAAAGCGUCCGCAGGCGGUUUUGUAAGUCUGUCGUGAAAGCCCCGGGCUCAACCUGGGAAUUGCGAUGGAGACUGCAAGGCUUGAAUCUGGCAGAGGGGGGUAGAAUUCCACGUGUAGCAGUGAAAUGCGUAGAGAUGUGGAGGAACACCGAUGGCGAAGGCAGCCCCCUGGGUCAAGAUUGACGCUCAUGCACGAAAGCGUGGGGAGCAAACAGG
rnacentral:rRNA from 1 species